AAUAUUGCACAAUGGGGGAAACCCUGAUGCAGCGACUCCGCGUGAGCGUAGAAGGCCUUCGGGUCGUAAAGCUCUGUCCCAAGGUACGAAACGGACGUUACCUUAGGAGGAAGCCCCGGCUAACUUUUUUCCAGCAGCCGCGGUAAUAGGUAGGGGGCGAGCGUUAUCCGGAAUUAUUGGGCGUAAAGGGUGCGUAGGCGGCUUUUUAAGUCAGAUGUGAAAGGCUACGGCUUAACCGUAGUUAGCAUUUGAAACUAAAAGGCUUGAGUGCAGGAGAGGAGAGUGGAAUUCCUAGUGUAGCGGUGAAAUGCGUAGAUAUUAGGAGGAACACCAGUGGCGAAGGCGACUCUCUGGACUGCAACUGACGCUGAGGCACGAAAGCGUGGGGAGCGAACA
rnacentral:rRNA from 1 species